ACGCCUGUGGUGGAACGGUUAUCAUACGUCGUUGCCAACGACGUGUCGAGGGUUCGACUCCCUCCGGGCGUA